AUGAGAGGGCGUGCAAAGGGCAGGACGACCGUGAUGCAAGCUCGUGCACCCGCUGCGUUACCAUGGUGUGCGACGGCGGAGACCGGUGCCGGCUGGGGCAGCGAUGCAGGAAACGGCACACCUCGUUGCUGGAACCGGCCGACUGAAAAGCUGCAACCGGCAUCCGUUGAUGCUGGAACCAGUAAUCAUUUUUGCUACCACAGGCGUUUGGUUUUGCUGGAACCACCGCCAAAUUUGAAGGAAAACAGAGCACACUGCUCCUCCUUGAUGGCGCCCGCCCUUGUCGCUGACAGAGAUACCGUCCAAGAACUUGCCUCAGGCAUUGAACUGCUGCUGUAUAAAGACUGGUCAUUGUUCAGAUGCUAG
rnacentral:rRNA from 1 species